CAAGCCGGGGGGUAAUUUCGGAAGGGAAGCCUAGCGGUUGUUUCGGAAUUUACUGGGCGGUAAAAGCGCACGGUAGGCGGCGAAGCAAGGUCAGGGGGGAAAUCCCCGGGGCUCAACCCCCGGAACUGCCCUUGAAACAGCUUUGCUAGAAUCCUGGAGAGGCGAGUGGAAUUCCGAGUGUAGAGGUGAAAUUCGUAGAUAUUCGGAAGAACACCAGUGGCGAAGGCGACUCGCUGGACAGGUAUUGACGCUGAGGUGCGAAAGCGUGGGGAGCAAACAGGGUUAGAUACCCUGGUAGUCCACGCCGUAAACGAUGAUAACUAGCUGUCCGGGCUCACAGAGCUUGGGUGGCGCAGCUAACGCAUUAAGUUAUCCGCCUGGGGAGUACGGUCGCAAGAUUAAAACUCAAAGGAAUUGACGGGGGCCUGCACAAGCGGUGGAGCAUGUGGUUUAAUUCGAAGCAACGCGCAGAACCUUACCAGCCUUUGACAUCCCGGUCGCGAGUUCCAGAGAUGGAUCUCUUCAGUUCGGCUGGACCGGUGACAGGUGCUGCAUGGCUGUCGUCAGCUCGUGUCGUGAGAUGUUGGGUUAAGUCCCGCAACGAGCGCAACCCUCGUCCUUAGUUGCCAUCAUUCAGUUGGGCACUCUAAGGAAACUGCCGGUGAUAAGCCGGAGGAAGGUGGGGAUGACGUCAAGUCCUCAUGGCCCUUACAGGCUGGGCUACGCACGUGCUACAAUGGCGAUGACAGUGAGCAGCUAGACCGCGAGGUCGUGCUAAUCUCUAAAAGUCGUCUCAGUUCGGAUUGUUCUCUGCAACUCGAGAGCAUGAAGGCGGAAUCGCUAGUAAUCGCGGAUCAGCAUGCCGCGGUGAAUACGUUCCCAGGCCUUGUACACACCGCCCGUCACACCAUGGGAGUUGGUUUCACCCGAAGAUGGUGCGCUAACCCGUAAGGGAGGCAGCCAGCCACGGUGGGAUCAGCGACUGGGGUGAAGUCGUAACAAGGUAGCCGUAGGGGAACCUGCGGCUG
rnacentral:rRNA from 1 species